UACGUAGGGAGCAAGCGUUGUCCGGAAUCAUUGGGCGUAAAGCGCGCGUAGGCGGCUUCGUAAGUCCGUUGUGAAAGUCAAAGGCUCAACCUUUGAAAGCCGAUGGAUACUGCGGAGCUAGAGUACGGAAGAGGCGAGUGGAAUUCCUGGUGUAACGGUGGAAUGCGCAGAUAUCAGGAGGAACACCAAUAGCGAAGGCAGCUCGCUGGGACGUUACUGACGCUGAGGCGCGAAAGCGUGGGGAGCGAACAGG
rnacentral:rRNA from 1 species